rnacentral:tRNA from 1 species
GUUCCAUUAGCUCAGUUGGGAGAGCCCAAGGGAUAAAGGACAUCCCUGACUUUUAAUCGAGGGGUCAUGGGUUCAAGCCCCAUAUGGAGCA